rnacentral:lncRNA from 1 species
ACUCGAAACCACGAACCAAAGUUCCUAAAUCCUAAGUACAAGGUUGAAUCGAAGCCAGAAACAACAAGAACUGUAAAUCUAAAAACAAAAAUUAAAUGGUGGUGGGAGGGAAUCAAAGCCUAAAACCAGAGGGCUUUGAUUCCUUAUAACUUGCACUACAUGGUGGUAAGUGAAACAUGGAUAACCGAGGGUUUCAGCAAACUACCUCGCCGAAGAAGGUGACCAGAGCAACGACAAUGGCAACAAAAAUGUUCAGGUUAGAUCUUUCUCUUUGUUACUUCUCUUAGUGUGUUUUGAUUCUUCUUCUGUUAUGAGGGUGAGUCAGAAAAAUCAGAGGUUUAGUUGAGUGAUU